CUGAGGCCUCAUCAUGUCUUUGGAAAUAACAGACCACUCUUCAGCAAUGUCCUGUGCCAAGGGCUGGACGUCAGGAAUCUUGGACCCGUUCUUGGAGCAGAGAUUCGAGUAACUUUCUCAAGUGCAUGUUGACACUCCGUAUGUUUCUGUUAGUAUCACCAAGGUUAAGUAUGUCUCAUGAAUGUCCUUCGAGCCUGGUAUUCUCUAGAGCUGUCUCCAUGCCGGUAUUCUCCAUUGUAGCAGAACAACUCUCAUCAAUGUGUUCGCACCUCUCCUCAAUCCGUGCGGCCAGCUUUUCUGCCAGCUUCUCUUCGUGUAUCCCAUAAAGUCGAAGUCAAAAAGACUGGGAUUUCUGAGGCCUCAUCAUGUCUUUGGAAAUAACAGACCACUCUUCAGCAAUGUCCUGUGCCAAGGGCUGGACGUCAGGAAUCUUGGACCCGUUCUUGGAGCAGAGAUUCGAGUAACUUUCUCAAGUGCACGUUGACACUCCGUAUGUUUAUGACAGUUUCACCAAGGUUCAGUAUGUCUCAUGAAUGUCUUUCAAGCCUGGUAUUCCCUAGAGUUGUCUCCAUGCCGGUAUUCUCCAUUGUAGCAGAACAACUC